GCAUUAAUGGGAUAGUGGUAACCUCAGUCGUUGCCACUUCAAUCAGGUCGUCUCGACUGGCCGCGAGUUCGAUUCUCGCUUAAUGCA